UUAAUUAAAAGUCGUAACAAGGUUUCCGUAGGUGAACCUGCGGAAGGAUCAUUAUUGUAUAACCGAGGUGCGAGGGCUGUCGCUGACCCGAAAGGUCGUGCACGCCCGAGUGCCCUCACACAUCCAUCUCACCCCUAUGUGCACCACCGCGUGGGUCCCCCUUUGGCUUGUUCGGAGGGGGGCUUACGUUUUCACACAAACUUUGUAUGCAGUGUAGAAUGUAUUUUUUGUUUUUGCGAUCACGCAAUCAAUACAACUUUCAACAACGGAUCUCUUGGCUCUC
rnacentral:misc_RNA from 1 species